CAAGCAGACCAUCUUAUCGCUUUUGUAAAAAAGAGGAAAGUCCGGACACCAAAGAGUAGCAUAGCGGGUAACGCCCGUCCGACGUAAGUCGAGGACAAGUGCAACAGAAAGCAAGUACAGUUCGGCUGUAGUGAAACCAGGUAAACUCUAUGCGGUGCAAUACCACGUAUAUUGGAAAUAGAGAGCGACUCGUUCGAUUCCAAGGGGUAGGUAGUUAAAAUUGUAUAGUAAUAUAUAAUGUAGAUAAAUGAUAAGAACCUUUUAUUUGUAAAAGGGACAGAAUCCGGCUUAUCGGUCUGCUUUUUUC
rnacentral:RNase_P_RNA from 1 species